rnacentral:rRNA from 1 species
AUACGGGGGGUGCAAGCGUUAAUCGGAAUUACUGGGCGUAAAGCGCGCGUAGGCGGUUUGCUCAGUCGGAUGUGAAAGCCCAGGGCUCAACCUUGGAACUGCAUACGAUACUGGCAAACUAGAGUGUGAGAGAGGAUAGUGGAAUUUCCGGUGUAGCGGUGAAAUGCGUAGAUAUCGGAAGGAACAUCAGUGGCGAAGGGGACUGUCUGGCUCAACACUGACGCUGAGGUGCGAAAGCGUGGGUAGCAAACAGGAUUAGAAACCCUAGUAGUCC